CUUAUAGGCAAUUUGGGUCUCCUCCAUGUGGGAUUUUGUUUUGGAUUCAUUUUGUCCAUGUGAUUGUUUUGGGAAAACCGAUUUAAAUAAAACCAAUAUGUCACAAACAUGCACCUAUUAGUUUACUGCAAAAUACAGGGUUGGGUCAAAUUUCAUGGUAUUUCAUGGCAUUUGACACGUAAAAUUUUUGUUGCAGGUACAUAUUAUAACGGGGUCUUGGGAGAUUCAUCAUGGGUAAUUUCAUGAAGGAACAAUGAUCAAAAAUAAUGGAAUUUUUUUUUCAAAAUUGAGACAACUGUUCAGGAAGUGGUUAAUUGAAAGAAACUCCCAGAUUAUUGACAGAUUAACAUUCCCCGAUCUUUCAGCUCACAAUUGCUUCAUGUGGGGAUAUCUGUAGGUGUGUGUGUACAUGAACAAACUGCGUACACUUGAGAAACUCAGGGAAAUUAUCGAGGCAGAAAUUUAAGCGCUAGAGCC